UACAGAGGGGGCAAGCGUUGUUCGGAAUUACUGGGCGUAAAGGGCGCGUAGGCGGCCUGUUAAGUCGAACGUGAAAUCCCCGGGCUCAACCCGGGAACUGCGUCCGAUACUGGCAGGCUUGAAUCCGGGAGAGGGAUGCGGAAUUCCAGGUGUAGCGGUGAAAUGCGUAGAUAUCUGGAGGAACACCGGUGGCGGAGGCGGCAUCCUGGACCGGCAUUGACGCUGAGGCGCGAAAGCCAGGGGAGCAAACGGG
rnacentral:rRNA from 1 species